GUUUGUCAGCAAAUGUUUCACUGGAGGAAAUACAAGAGCAGGCUUUUGGCAAAUAGCUGCAAAUUGCAACAUGCAGAUACCUUCACAGAAGGGAUUUGUUUGGAAAAACGAGAAUCUGUGAUGGCAGAAACAUCUGAUUUCCUUUGAGAAUGAGAACCUGACUGCAGAGACACUCGCAGUGUGGAUCACAUACAGGGUUGGCAGUGGUAUGAAAGAGCUUGGCACCAAAGCUGUGGCAAUGCAGUUUACUCAGGCUGGAGAAAUAAAGCUUUACUCUGUCAGAAUAAGACUUAAAGAAGAAUUAGGUAGGUGCUUCUAUAGAAGACUUAUAGAGACUGCAAGUUUGGACUCUAAAUUAACAGUUCAGAGAAACAAGGGUUAUUUGAAAUGGUGGUUACAUUCAACUCUUACUAGUUUUGAAGGAGAAAAGAGGAAUUCAGUAGUUACAUCCUGCAACUUGUACCAUGAAUGACUUGGUACAAAACCAAAGGCGUGAUUAUGAGCACAGCCCGUUGUACAAAUGUUUCUCUGUUUCAUGGUAACCAUUUCUUUACCUUCUAUUCUCGUUUUGUUGGUUUCAGUGCAUUCCUCGUCUCUUGCUGGUGAAGCCACUGCUGGUGUUGAGCUUUAAUGCCUUUAAGUCUGUACCACAAAAACGUCAGUGAGCCUUUCCUACCAUCUGAUCGUGUGCUGGAGAGCAGCAGUUUGGUGCAUUUUCAGAUUGGGCAUCGUGCUUAACGUCCUUUUGAUUCCAGCCUGUCUUCCAGCGCGUUCAAAACUCACACUUGCUUCUCCCAUUGAGUUGCAUCAAGAUAAAACAAGUGGAAUUUAUCAGAUCUUACCAUCACCAGACAACGCCGUGGAGGCAGCAGACAUUCAGAUGCAGAUCGGAGAGAGCGUUUCAUCUGCAUGCAUGUUAUUUGACUGAAGUGAACUGGUUUGAGAACUGGCAUUAAAAUACCAACACUGGCAGUUAAUGCUCCAGCCUUUGAACUGCAGCAGGCAGCUUCAGAGGAAGGGCAGGGCUGGUGGCAGCACCACCACUGCUGUUUGCUCAUACAGCUCUGACUGCUCUCUGUACUCACCAUCCUCCAAGUAAAGACACAGGAGCCAAAUUGGCUCCAAGAAGCAGUUUCUGUUCACCCUGGCUCUGACUCAGCCCCCUCCAAGGGCCAGCAGUGCCACCUACCAGCUCUUGGAGUGGGGAAAUGAGCAACAAGUCUUGGUCUUAUCUGCACCGAGUAAUCACACCAUGCUUUUAGAAAGCAAUAUGCUUCGCAUGUGUGCUGGCACACACAUCUGCCUCAGCUCCAUCCUGGGAACAUUGCUGUCACUGAUAGCAUUUCCAUCUGGAAGUAGGAGAACUGGGAUAACAUCAAAUGGCAGAAAGUGAUAUAGAGCUUGGAGGAGGUGCCCUGAGCUCACAGCACAGCCCUGUGCUUUGGUGAGAGGCUCUUGCACCUGGUGCCAUAGCAGAAGACCUGAGCAGUUCGUUCUUUACACCGCACACCUCUCCAGAGCUGAUCCUCCACGUGCAGAUGUGCUUCUCACAGAUUAACACCACCAACCAGUCUGUAGCUGCAGGCAUGCGAGCAAAAAGGCAAAGGGUCAAAGCUCCAGCCUGGAAUAAAUCACAGUGAGCCACUAACACGCAGUGUGAGCAGAAACGAGCAGCAGGGGAGAUGGAAAAGAACAGGCUGUGUCCUGACAGGCAGACCUCAGCAAGACAGAUUUAGCUCUCGUUCAGCCAGGAGGAUAUUUGUCACUGCAAGGACAGGCCUGCAUUAUUUUUAGUGGAUGCAUCAUGAGUCCGCAGCUUUAAAGGACAGCGAAAGAAAGAUCAGCUUGUCUGGUGAGGGCUUAUCCUGUUCUCUCAGAGCACACACAGCCCUGAGAAGCCGAGGAAUGUGUCAGUACAUACAAGACACCAUGUGCUGCUUCAAGUACAACGCCUGCUUUUAUUGCUGCUAGCUGUGACACUAGCAGUCAGCAAACCCUGACAUCACACGUGCUGUCCUUACCCUGGGCCAUGCGCACAGCAGCGUGCCUGCAGGCUGAGCCCAACGGAGCACUUCCUGAUAAAACACACCGGAGUUUGAAAAAGAUGGUCUUGCUUUCUACCGGUCCACGUGGCCCCAGCUGUGACACGGCACUCAGCCCUGCAGUCACCUUGCUGCACAGCAGGAGAGGUGAUUCCCUCCUAUUGCCGCCAGCACUGUGUGCUGCAGCCACGCAGCAGAGCGAGGCC
ensembl:lncRNA